rnacentral:rRNA from 2 species
ACAGGGUGACAGGUGGUGCAUGGUUGUCGUCAGCUCGUGUCGUGAGAUGUUGGGUUAAGUCCCGCAACGAGCGCAACCCUUGUCUUUAGUUGCCAUCAUUAAGUUGGGCACUCUAAAGAGACUGCCGAUGACAAAUCGGAGGAAGGUAGGGAUGACGUCAAAUCAUCAUGCCCUUUAUGUCCUGGGCUACACACGUGCUACAAUGGUCGGUACAACGAGAAGCAAGUCAGCGAUGGCAAGCAAAUCUCUAAAAGCCGAUCCCAGUUCGGAUUGCAGGCUACAACUCGCCUGCAUGAAGUCGGAGUUGCUAGUAAUCGCGGAUCAGAAUGCCGCGGUGAAUGCGUUCCCGGGUCUU